UGUUAUCAUAGGUUACGCGCGACUCCAGAGGCAAUUUGGAAUCUCGGCACGAAAUCGUCUGAUGAAAAUCUGAGGUGCCCGACGCAUAACAUUUUGAACGUGCCACGGAGGAUCAAGGCAAAAAACGAGAGCAAAAAAUGGUGCACGCUGAAGGCGGAAAUGAAGCAUGAUCUGGCUUGCAUCUGGUCAUGAAGAAAUUGCUGACACGUUAGUUGCAGUCCACCUCCACCAACAGGGUGGAAAACAAAGAUCGCCAUUCCGAUUAGCUGCUAUCUCCCAGUUCAAGCACUUUUGUGUCUGGACACUGGUUCCUGUGGAUGGGGUGUUACAAGCUUUACUGUCUGAUAUAGAAGUGAUGAGCAUCCAUAAGGACACAUGCCAGAAAGGGAGUCUCUUUGGGAUGACAAACCCUCAUCACCUCAUGAGGAUACAAUGGUUGACGAAUGGUUCUCAAGCACAUCGAAACUUCCAACAAAUAAUUCAUGAAAA